rnacentral:rRNA from 1 species
CACGGGGGGAGCAAGCGUUGUUCGGAAUCACUGGGCGUAAAGGGCGUGUAGGCGGUCAGGUAAGUGGGAUGUGAAAUGCCCCGGCUCACCCGGGGACCGGCAUCCCAUACUGCUUGGCUUGAGUACGGGAGAGGAUGUGGGAAUUCCUGGUGUAGCGGUGAAAUGCGUAGAUAUCAGGAGGAACACCGGUGGUGUAGACGGCUUUCUGGACCGUAACUGACGCUGAGACACGAAAGCGUGGGUAGCAAACAGG